rnacentral:rRNA from 1 species
UACGGAGGAUGCGAGCGUUAUCCGGAUUUAUUGGGUUUAAAGGGUGCGUAGGCGGACUGUCAAGUCAGCGGUAAAAUACGGGGGCUCAACCUCCGCCCGCCGUUGAAACUGACGGUCUUGAGUGGGCGAGAAGUAUGCGGAAUGCGUGGUGUAGCGGUGAAAUGCAUAGAUAUCACGCAGAACUCCGAUUGCGAAGGCAGCAUACCGGCGCCCAACUGACGCUGAAGCACGAAGGCGUGGGUAUCGAACAGG